CUUUGAGUCGGAUCAACAAUGUGAGAUUUCUGCUGCCUCUAUACUUAAAGGGUCACCGUCAGAGUCUAUAGAGUAAAACCCGAGGAAAUUCCACAGACAUGUGGCCUCAGGAGCCUCACCCUGAGGCCUGAACCUGGCUGGGGAGCCGGGCCUGAAAGACUCUUUCAUUGGGGGCCGGGAGCCAAACAGCGGUCCAUUCUGUCAGCACCAGGAGGGCCCUGAUUCUGAGAACGCUCAACCCGGCUCAUUAAAUUUAACGGACUAUAAACGCCACAAUAAAUCUGAGCUGUCACUUUUCCUCAGCGACGACUACUAGCAAAUCAGCCAUCAGUACGGGUAGUUACAGCGCUACAAUGGACUAGACCCAGAUUUGGAGGAUUAUGGUCCAGUCCAAAGGGACAAACCCUGCAGCAGGUCUUCGUGUCAGCUUUCAUCCUUCAAACCUUUGAACGGGCUCGGUAAACAACUAGGUUACACAAUGAUCCUACCUGUAUAAAGGUGAAACGCUGAAAAAUCCUGAAGAUUCAAAACCAACGCUGCAGCAACCUACAGCACAUGUCAGAGGUGACUCGGUGAUGCAAUCAAUAGAUUAUGGCAGCGGGUUAAGACAGGUUGCAUCAGUUCACUGGAGCCUGGAGCCAGUCUGAUCAAGUUAAGGAAGCUUAACCUGAGAUGCUAUCACCCACCGAAGGCUCACUUCACCACAGACCUUUGCCUUUUACUGGGAUUCUGCUUUUUCUAGCAGAGAAUGAGCCUUUGCUUCGUAGUAUAAGACGAGACAACGUCAUCGCAGAUCAUCAUGGAGAUGACGCCAAGUCAUGGAGGAUCAGACUGACCAACAAAGACUACUAUAAUAUUUGUUAGGAAUUUUUAAUAUGACACAUGGAAUGACAACUACCAUCGGUGUCACCUGGAGGAGUGGAACAUAAGGUUCAAUAUAGCAAAAGCAGAUGAAAGGUCUAGCUCCAUUCACAUGCACAUACUCUCAUACAAAAUGGUUAAAAUGCAGCUUGAAGAUCUAUUAUUUUUUAAAGACAUUUAGCUUACAAUUAAAAAAUGGGAUAAAUCUACAAAUCAGAACCAAAAGGGUGAAUACAUCCAUCAAUAAUUCACUUAAUCCCAAACAUCUGCACAAGUAUUGUCAUUAAACAGAUGUGAAGGUAAGUGAAUGUGAUUUACUUCAUGGAUUAAUUGAGGACUAUGACAGAUACAGGAUUCCAGACUAGUCAUAUUUACGUUAUUCUCAUGUAGCUAACACAACUUUUCUAUUUGCAGGCCUUCGGGUCAUGACCUAAACGCCCGCUGCUCCACUACACCUCAGGCUACUGUAACUACCACUAGCUGGAUCUGUCAUGAACUGUGAGGAUAAACUGUGCUUUGUCGUUGCUGAUGCCGUCUCUCGACCACAUAGGCUCCCGUUGUCGCCAGCAGCGCAGAGGUUAACGCACACAUGCCAUCACACACUGAGGAGGCUGAGGAGAAACCGCAAACGCCGCAUCCCGCAGCGUCGCCCCUCGAACUCACCGCCGCUGUUGAAUCUCCAGGUCAAGGUCCGACUGAUGCCUGGCGAUCGGAUGUCAUCACGGUGUCGCCUCCUUGCUCGAUUCCUUCUCCUCCAUUUGCAUUGAGCAGACGGUGGGACAUGACUUCCUGUAUGGAGUGGUGACGUCAGCAGCAGCUAUGCGUGCGCGGCCUGCGCUGAGCAAACGCUGCGUUCCAGUGGCAUCGGAAAUAUCAUAAUCAUAAACAAAAAUGGCAACCCAGCGUUGUUUAAUUGAACAAUUAUUUAUUUAAAUAAAACCAAAUGAAUCUAAUAUAGCACCUCAUCUCAUAUGCUGCAUUGUGCACUCUUUGCUUCAUUUUGUAAACAUGCGUAGUAUGUCCUCUACAAAGAAUUAUAAUCACGUUUUGGCCAUGAUGACUAAUAAAGUUAAUUCUAUUUUAAAGCAUGUGCAUAAAGCACUAAGCGGCUUUAAAUGAUCAUGAUGUUGGCUACACUUCCCACAAAUUCCUCCACACCUAUUCACUACUCAAAUAUUUACCAAGGGAGAACAAGCCUGCACGAAGCCCGGAUCCUUCUCUGUAGGAGGAUGUAAAUCAUGAGCUGACCCAGAGUUUCUGACCAGUUUUUAUUUGGCAAACCCUGUGUGAUACAGAAUACUGUAAAAGGCAC